ACAUCAAAUGACCAUUUUAACAACAAUAUCUAAAUUGUUACUUCCUUUUUUUUUUUUAAGAUGAAGUGGUGCAUUUUAAGGAUUUUAUCAGAGAAUUGGCCGACACUGAUGAAUUUACUGAAUGCCAAAAAAUAGAAGAUGCAUGGAACAUUAUUAGUAGUGUCUGUGAUGGGAAAGUUGAAAUUGAAGACCUUUUAUCCACUUUGAAGAGCCUGGAGAAACCUUUAGAUGAAGAACAAUUUAAGGUCUUAUCAAACAGUGCAGCAGAUGAAAGAAAAGUGAUCUUAAAAGAUGUAAUUGAUGUUUUCACUAAUUCACCUAAACCAU
rnacentral:lncRNA from 1 species